rnacentral:rRNA from 1 species
UGGGGAAUUUUGGACAAUGGGGGAAACCCUGAUCCAGCCAUCCCGCGUGUGCGAUGAAGGCCUUCGGGUUGUAAAGCACUUUUGGCAGGAAAGAAACGUCAUGGGUUAAUACCCCGUGAAACUGACGGUACCUGCAGAAUAAGCACCGGCUAACUACGUGCCAGCAGCCGCGGUAAUACGUAGGGUGCAAGCGUUAAUCGGAAUUACUGGGCGUAAAGCGUGCGCAGGCGGUUCGGAAAGAAAGAUGUGAAAUCCCAGAGCUCAACUUUGGAACUGCAUUUUUAACUACCGGGCUAGAGUGUGUCAGAGGGAGGUGGAAUUCCGCGUGUAGCAGUGAAAUGCGUAGUUAUGCGGAGGAACACCGAUGGCGAAGGCAGCCUCCUGGGAUAACACUGACGCUCAUGCACGAAAGCGUGGAGAGCAAACAGG